CCGCGGUAAUACGUAGGGCGCGAGCGUUGUCCGGAAUUAUUGGGCGUAAAGAGCUUGUAGGCGGUUGGUCGCGUCUGCUGUGAAAGGCUGGGGCUUAACCCUGGUUUUGCAGUGGGUACGGGCUAACUAGAGUGCAGUAGGGGAGACUGGAAUUCCUGGUGUAGCGGUGGAAUGCGCAGAUAUCAGGAGGAACACCGAUGGCGAAGGCAGGUCUCUGGGCUGUAACUGACGCUGAGAAGCGAAAGCAUGGGGAGCGAACAGGAUUAGAUACCCUGGUAGUCCAUGCCGUAAACGUUGGGCACUAGGUGUGGGGGACAUUCCACGUUUUCCGCGCCGUAGCUAACGCAUUAAGUGCCCCGCCUGGGGAGUACGGCCGCAAGGCUAAAACUCAAAGGAAUUGACGGGGGCCCGCACAAGCGGCGGAGCAUGCGGAUUAAUUCGAUGCAACGCGAAGAACCUUACCAAGGCUUGACAUAUACUGGACUGCGUCAGAGAUGGCGUUUCCCUUCGGGGCUGGUAUACAGGUGGUGCAUGGUUGUCGUCAGCUCGUGUCGUGAGAUGUUGGGUUAAGUCCCGCAACGAGCGCAACCCUCGUUCUAUGUUGCCAGCACGUUAUGGUGGGGACUCAUAGGAGACUGCCGGGGUCAACUCGGAGGAAGGUGGGGAUGACGUCAAAUCAUCAUGCCCCUUAUGUCUUGGGCUUCACGCAUGCUACAAUGGCCGGUACAGAGGGUUGCGAUACUGUGAGGUGGAGCUAAUCCCUAAAAGCCGGUCUCAGUUCGGAUUGGGGUCUGCAACUCGACCCCAUGAAGUCGGAGUCGCUAGUAAUCGCAGAUCAGCAACGCUGCGGUGAAUACGUUCCCGGGCCUUGUACACACCGCCCGUCAAGUCACGAAAGUUGGUAACACCCGAAGCCGGUGGCCUAACCCUGGUGGGGGGAGCCGUCGAAGGUGGGACUGGCGAUUGGGACUAAGUCGUAACAAGGUAGCCGUACCGGAAGGUGCGGCUG
rnacentral:rRNA from 1 species